AGAGGCUCUUGCAAUUUAAGACUUCAGCACUCAAUGGACAGGCAGCUUCGCCACCGAGGAGCUGAUAAGAGAUUGCUUUUUCUGAACCCAGCACAAAAUCGUGAGGCCGAAAAUUAUGGAUGGAAGACGUGAGGAGCACGAUUGGAGGAGAAUUCUCUAUUGUUACAGAGGCAAUACCUAACUAGUAAUUGUUAAACAUAAUAUAAAAGAUGUUCACGAUACGGUAUUGGCUGGUAUGAGCUCCAUGGAUGUUCGAAUUGUAUGUUGGUUUUGGAAAUUACUGAUUUUGUAUUGCUUAGACCGAUGAAAGAGGCCACGGCCGAAUUGGUGUGCAGUGGUGGUGAAUACAGCCACCAAACUUGAAGACAUGAAGAAGACAUGGGCGAUUGUAUUUUAUAUCGCCUGUACCAGUUUUCACAGUAGAACAGUUAUAGAUUGGCGGCAGAAAUAAGCAUAACAAUGGUAUCUACCCGAAAAAUAGCUGAUCAGUCACCGACAAAUUUUUACAACAUAUUUCAUAAUAGGGCAUUAUAACUGAAAAUACAACAAUUUUUUCUACACCAGAUUGUGAAUGCAACGUUGGUAAUAUGUUAAUCAUAUAGCCAAAUUAGCUUUAUUUAUUUUUUUCCUUUGUAAGUAUGCACAAUCCACAAGCAUGUAGACAUCGGCAAUGACAGGAGCACAGACAAGUCACUGACUAAAUUUAAUGAAAAAAUAAAUAUAAUGAAAUGUAAAAUAUGUAUAAUGAUUGCAUGAAUAAUUUAAUAACAUUUUGUUGGAUUAAAUGAAAUCUAUGGA